rnacentral:lncRNA from 1 species
CCACCCCUCGUCUCCUCAACCGCCGCUGUAUCUCGCCAUCGCAUUGGCUAGCCUCUGAACCUUUCACCUUUUACCCGGCUUUCGCCGCCAAUCGCCUGGCUCCUUUCAUGCUGUGGGGAUGUGGAGCGUGUGAGCUGCGCAGGGUGUCAUUCUCGGAGCGGGCUUGCGUUGCGGGCGUUGGGCGGCCCCUGUUGGUUACCUAGGGUGAAACAAAAUUACAGGAUUGGAAACUCUGGAAAAGCUCAGCAUCAGCAUUUGAGAGCCAAAGCUUGCAAAUUAUGUGAUUAAUCUACAAGCUGAUAUCAUGAUGUCAAAAUGCAGUUCGGGAAGCAUAAAUACAGAAGUUGCAGAAAUUAAAACGAAGCUUAGGAGGAACAUGCCAGAAAUUUCGGUCGUUUACUGUACCAUGCUCACAGAAGUCUUUCAGAAGCAGAUCAUUCAAACAGAGAACCUCAAUUAAGCUGUGCUGGAACAAAAAUGCAAUGA